ensembl:lncRNA
AGGCUCCCGGGGGUUGUAGUGCGCGUCCGGUCUGCGCAGGCGCACGUCUCGCGACGGCCGCCAGGAGCUCUUUUGUGGCGGCCGUGGUCUUGUGUGAGGUGGGUCAGCUCGGCCGCGCGUCCGGCCGGCCGUCGGUUCAUCAGCCCGUCAGCCCCAGGCCUGUGUGCCGCCCCCGUGACUCCCAGCGCCGGGCGGCAGACCUCGAGGCCUGGCCGGCCCGCGCGGGCCCGGACAACGUCAGUGACGGGCUGGUGGGGCGAGCGAUGGGGCGAGAUCACAGCCCGGGGCGCGGGGCGCCUGUGGAGCCCGCCUGACCCCGACCCGGGGCGCGGGCCGGCCCCGCGGGGCUGCGCGAGGGUUCUGAGCACCGGGAGCUGGACCCGACCCGCCCCCGCCCGGGGCGGCCGCCGAAGGAGGGCGCCAUGGAGGCCCCGGAUCCCCGGGAGGCAGCUCCGUCGUCUCAGGACCCUGCUCUUCCCCUCAAAGAGAUUCCAGAAGAUAAAUUGGGUCAGGGUCUCCUGGAAGGCAGGUCCGAGGUCACUCCUUGGGCCCAUGCUCAGAACCUGUUCACGCCCCUGUCUCCCUCCUGCCUUCCUCCCAUGCUGCCUGCUGCAGAAUGCAGACGCUGUCACCUUGGGGUAGAUAUCUGUCUUCAUACUCUGGCCACUGCAGCCUCCCCCCCACCCCGCUCCUCCCUGACUCCAGUUCACUUUACUGCUGAGGACCUGCUUGCCCCACCACUUCUGUGUUCCCCCCCCCCCGCAACGGUCUGCCCUUUUUUUUUUUUUAGUAUUAUUUAUUUAGCUGUGCUGGGUCUUAUUUGCGACAAGCAGGAUCUUCGUUGCCGCGUGCAGGGUCUUCAGUUGCAGCUCGUGGGAUCUUUUUAGUUGCAGCGUGAGGGAUCUAGUUCCCUGACCAGAGAUCGAACCCGGGCCCCCUGCAUUGGGAGUGCAGAGUCUUAACCGCUGGACCACCAGGGAAGUCCCUGCCUAUCUUCUAAUGCAUCCCUGUCAUGACUGUAUGUGGCCUGGGCUGCUCUUUGUUCUCUUCUCAUGGGACAGGCGCUGGGUCUCCAGCCUCUUGGCGUGCCCAGCUGGAGAGGUAAGAAGCCCUGGCCGGCAGAAUACUGGGGUUCCAGAGCAGGAAUCACAUAAGGGAAGUCAUUUGGGACUUUCAGGACACUUGGAACCGGAGUGACCGAGUCGGGGGGGUUACCCUGAGACCAGGGGCCAGUGUUGGGGGAAAGUGGGAGCAGGUUGCAAGGGGUGGACUGGGAUGUGGCCCCAGGAGGGCAAGGGAGCAGGGGUCUGGCGGGAAGAAGUGGGGGGCAAGCAGGAAGGACACAGAGCAGUACAGGGUCUUUCCUUUGAGUGCAGUGAGGGCUUCCUGUCUGGGGUUGGGGCCUUUUGCAGUGAUGGGACUUGAAUAGGGUUUUGGGCUCUUUGUAUUAUAUUUCAAGUUCUGUAAGUUGGCCAGAAUUUAUGGCCUCAGCCUGUGCCCCCACUGCAGCACCUACAUGCAGGCUGCCCAGUUAGCUGGGCCCUCCCAGGCCAGGCCGCGUGGCAGUUCCUGGCCGAGUUGUGGUGUGUGCGUCGGGGCUGUAGGACAGAUGGUGUCUACAGCCCUAUCUUCUGCGCUCAGGAGGUCACCCAAGGUUAUCUCUGCUACUGAGGUCCUCAGUCACCCAAAAACGCAAGUGAACUGACUCACAUCCUGGGUGAGAGAGAACAUGUGUGUCAUUCCAGGAGUUGGUGACUUUCAAGGACGUGGCCGUGGACUUCAGCCAGGAGGAGUGGGGACAGCUGGACUCCCCUCAGA